UACCAUUGCACUCCAGCCUGGGCAACAAAAGCGAAACUCCGAUUUGAUUUGAAAAACAGGAGUGGAGAUUCUUAUUAAGAAUCUGAAUGUAGAGCAGUGUGAAGAAGAGGCAAGAACGACCCCUGGACCGACCAAAGUCUGCGCGCGCUGCAUCCCGCGUCCAGCACCUACGUCCCACUGCCUUCCCCACCAUGCCCAAGAGAAAGGCUGAAGGGGAUGCUAAAGGAGAUAAAGCCAAGGUGAAGGACGAACCACAGAGAAGAUCCGCGAGGUUGUCUGCUCCUCCAAAGCCAGAGCCCAAGCCUAAAAAGGCCCCUGCAAAGAAGGGAGAGAAGGUACCCAAAGGGAAAAAGGGAAAAGCUGAUGCUGGCAAGGAGGGGAAAACCCUGCAGAAAACGGAGAUGCCAAACAGAGCAGGCACAGAAAGCUGAAGGUGCUGGAGAUGCCAUUUGAAGUGUGUGCAUUUUUGAUAACUGUGUACUUCUGGUGACUGUACAGUUUGAAAUACUAUUUUUUAUCAAGUUUUAUAAAAAUGCAGAAUUUUGUUUUACUUUUUUUUUUUUUUAAAGCUAUGUUGUCAGCACACAGAACACUUCAUUGUUGUUUUUGGGGGAAGGGGCAUAUGUCCCUAACAGAAUGUCUCCAAAGCUGGAUUAAUGUGGGGAAAACACCUUUCCCUUCUAGUUUUGAGAGACUUCCUCUUGGCUCCCAGGAGGAGGGAUUCCCUGACUUUGACACACAUGGCCACCUUGGCACAAAAGCCUUGUGGUAUGGAAAAACAAAUUUGUUUUUAUGUCCUCUUCUCCCUUUCCAUCUUUCAGCAUAGACUUAAC